AUUUAACUGAAGAGUCCGAAAUAGGACGAAACGUGCGGUCUGGAU
rnacentral:hammerhead_ribozyme from 1 species